AGAAUCAACGCUGGCGGCGUGCCUAACACAUGCAAGUCGAACGAGAAAGUGGAGCAAUCCACAAGUAAAGUGGCGCACUGGUGAGUAACACGUGACUAACCUACCCCUUGAGUGGGGGAUAACCUAGAGAAAUCUGGGCUAAUACCGCGAUAAUACCUUUCGGGUCAAAGGAGCAAUUCGCUUAAGGAGGGGGUCGCGGCCGAUUAGUUAGUUGGCGGGGUAAUGGCCCACCAAGACUAUGAUCGGUA
rnacentral:rRNA from 1 species